UGCCACAGCCAUGUCACCCUGCAGCCCAAGACUUACUCACUGAAGCCAAGCAGGCUGAGCCUAGUUAGUACCUGGAUGGAAGACCAUAUGGGAAAACUAGGUUGCUGUUGGAA
rnacentral:rRNA from 1 species